rnacentral:misc_RNA from 1 species
UCUCCGUUGGUGAACCAGCGGAGGGAUCAUUACAGGGUUGCAAAACUCCCAAACCAUUGUGAACGUUACCUAUCCCGUUGCUUCGGCGGGCGGCCCGGGCCCCGCGCCCGGCGCCCCCCGGCCCCCCGUGGGCGCCCGCCGGAGGUAAACCAAACCCUUGAAUUGCAUGGCCUCUCUGAGUCUUCUGUACUGAAUAAGCCAAAACUUUCAACAACGGAUCUCUUGGUUCUG